rnacentral:rRNA from 1 species
GCUUGUCUCAAAGAUUAAGCCAUGCAUGUCUAAGUAUAACUCUUUUACUUUGAAAACUGCGAACGGCUCAUUAUAUCAGUUAUAGUUUCUUUGAUAGUCCCUUACUACUUGGAUACCCGUAGUAAUUCUAGAGCUAAUACAUGCAUCAAUACCCAACUGUUCGCGGAAGGGUAGUAUUUAUUAGGUAUAGACCAACCCUCCUCGGAGGUGCUUUGGUGAUUCAUAAUAACUUUUCGAAUCGCAUGGCCUUGUGCUAGCGACAGUCCACUCGAUUUUCUGCCCUAUCAUGGUUGAGAUUGUAAGAUAGAGGCUUACAAUGCCUACAACGGGUAACGGGGAAUUAGGGUUCGAUUCCGGAGAGGGAGCCUGAGAAACGGCUACCACAUCCAAGGAAGGCAGCAGG